CAACAAACAAAAACAACAAUAUACUAACAAACAAUCAAUUAUAAUUACUAGCAUUAAAGCCAAGUAUUAAUACUAGAUGGACACAAACACAUUAUUCAAAACAAUUGUACUUGAACUUGAGAAAUUUAGAAGCACCAACCUUAUCUCCAACUUUGAUGAAAGAAGCAAUAUAGUCUUGUAUCAACUUUUUUAGAUGUUGAGCUUCCUCAGUUGCCUAGCACGAAAAGUUCUUAAAUUAGUUAAAUAUAAA
rnacentral:lncRNA from 1 species